CCCAUUCAUUUGGAGGGCAUCCCUCGUAGGAGAACACGGAAUCCUCAGUGUCGAAGAACGGGGCUCGCUUACUCAACGUCGUCCCUCAUUAAAACCGACGAGGGCGCUCUGACAGUCCCACUGGAUGUGUCCCCCUAAAAAAAGAAACGCUUUAUUCCCUGAUGGGUUUCAUGAUUGCCGCCAUGAUACUGAGAUAAUAUUCAUGGUUAGUUCAGUUUAGUUGUAUUAACGUCCCGUUGUAAAGCAACACUAGGGUUAUUUUGGGACGGACCUCGUAAUUUUGAGCCACGGUCAGAUGCUGAGGAAGAUACCCGAGCCGGCAUCCCCCUCUCCGCAUAACAUUACACCAGCGGGAGGACGGAUUUAACGUGGAGGAGGCCCUGACGGAUUUAACGUGCAACAGACCCCUUUACACGGCGGUUAUUCGGUGGAAUCGGUUUCGAACCUGAAACACUGCGGUUCACGAGCCGAGACCUCAUCACCAGGCAACUGCGGCGCAGUGUAAUCAUGGAUAUUUAACUCUGCAAAGUGAUACUUCAGUGUUUACGAUGAAGCGAACUCUUUUCAUCAUUCAUCAUCAAGUUUAUUUUAAAGACUUUUCUUUUUACUCAUUUUCUUUCUGUUGACCUGGAAACUAGCACCAUUUCCUGUGUGUUGAAGGCGAACAACGAAGUAAUAAACCAAGAACCAGCAAGAAGAAGAUAACAACCACUUCAUCAUCGGAACAAUUUACCUCGCUUUUCAGAGCUUUCUCUUCAUUCCCAUUUCAUCCACUUCAUCCCCAGGCGUGUUUCCUUUCGUUUCUUCGCCAAGCGGAACCAACGCGAAUCCAUCCAGAGGACCGAGUAUGAUGUCAGUUGACGGAGUCAUCCACAAAUCUAUUUCCCCAAGCGCGUCAAGAGCUGGUAACACAACACUUCCCCCCAAAUAAGAUUGAAAUUUAUCUGGCCGUCUGUCUGCAAUUUCAUUAUACUAAAGCGGCUCCUGAAAAAAACAUUCCCUCAUCAGCCAGAAGUAACCGCAACCAACAAGAGGUUAGCAGUGCUAAUUAGUACCGCCUCGUUGCACAUCUGCCUCCCACACCCCACCGUGCCCGCCUUGGUCUUUUAUCUCUGGAGCAGAUGAUCGCUACAGAGGUUCCCUUUUGCUAUUUCCAGCGGCUCUGGACUGCUGUCAGCAAUCAAUCAGAUUUGUGUCGCUCCAGACGAGACGCUUUUAUCGUGACUUGACAUCGGCCAGCACUUGUAGCAUGAAGGGUUGUCGCUGGUGAUUUUCUUUGGAUGCUUCAAGUGUGUGGCCAAGUGAAAAAAUAAAGCUCUUUUUCAGAUGGGGUUAAUUUUCUGGAGUCCAUUAAGAUUGCUGCCUUUGGCAAAGAAUAGACAAUAUAGAUGGCGGAAGAUGAUUGCAGGAGUCAUUUGGCUUCCUAAUCACUACCAAGAAAUUCGUGACUUCACAGGGUAUUUUUGUAGAUUGCUUAAAUCUUGAUGAUCUGUGAAAAUCUUUGUAUAAAUGCGUCUUUUUCCUUGGGAUUCUCAUUUUCUUAAAAAAGAUAAAAGUCUUAAAUAUUUA